UAGAGGUCAGUAAGUUUUUCUCCUGAGAGCUGUAGGAAGGAAUGUUGCCUCCACGAAGACUUGAAUACAUAGAGCUACAGUUUAUCGAGCUAAUUUAGAAUGAAUUUUUUGAAUGACGGAUUUCUCUGAAGAAGGAGGAUUUCCAAAAUGGGCUCAGGAGAAUCCCGGGUCAGCCUAUCAGGAUCCUUUUUACUAUUUCUAGACAUUUGUUCCAGCACAUGAAUAUUUUUCUACAGAAUUUGCUAGUGCUUUCUAGAACUGCUACAAGCAUACUGCUGUGCAGCUGAGGACUUUAAUUGCUACUAGUGUUGCUCCAUAGGAUCUGGUGUCUGUGUAUCUAGGUCCAAUUUUGUAAAUGGAGGAAACUGUUCUUAUAUAUGAAUGUCCUCCUAUAUAUGAAUGUUUCUCUAGUAUAUGUAUGUCUGUUCAUUGUUUUUAACUAGAAAGGGUUUAAAAUAAAAUAAAAAAAUUCUGGCAAUGAA